UACAGAGGUCCCAAGCGUUGUUCGGAUUCACUGGGCGUAAAGGGUGCGUAGGUGGUUAGGUAAGUCCGAUGUGAAAUCUCCAGGCUCAACCUGGAAAUGGCAUUGGAUACUAUCUAGCUUGAGGAGUGGAGGGGGGACUGGAAUUCUCGGUGUAGCAGUGAAAUGCGUAGAUAUCGAGAGGAACACCAGUGGCGAAGGCGAGUCCCUGGACACUUACUGACGCUGAGGCACGAAGGCUAGGGGAGCAAACGGG
rnacentral:rRNA from 1 species